UACGUAGGGGGCAAGCGUUAUCCGGAUUUACUGGGUGUAAAGGGAGCGCAGACGGCAGUGCAAGUCUGGAGUGAAAGCCCGGGGCCCAACCCCGGAACUGCACUGGAAACUGUGCGGCUAGAGUACUGGAGGGGCAGGCGGAAUUCCUAGUGUAGCGGUGAAAUGCGUAGAUAUUAGGAGGAACACCAGUGGCGAAGGCGGCCUGCUGGACAGUAACUGACGUUGAGGCUCGAAAGCGUGGGGAGCAAACAGG
rnacentral:rRNA from 1 species